rnacentral:rRNA from 1 species
AGAACGAACGCUGGCGGCAGGCUUAACACAUGCAAGUCGAGCGCAUCCUUCGGGGUGAGCGGCAGACGGGUGAGUAACGCGUGGGGAUAUGCCCAGAGGUGUGGAAUAACUCAGGGAAACUUGAGCUAAUACCGCAUGAGCCCUUCGGGGGAAAGAUUUAUCGCCUUUGGAUUAACCCGCGUCAGAUUAGCUAGUUGGUAGUGUAAUGGCCUACCAAGGCGACGAUCUGUAGCUGGUCUGAGAGGAUGACCAGCCACACUGGGACUGAGACACGGCCCAGACUCCUACGGGAGGCAGCAGUGGGGAAUAUUGGACAAUGGGCGCAAGCCUGAUCCAGCCAUGCCGCGUGAGUGAUGACGGCCUUAGGGUUGUAAAGCUCUUUUAACAGGGACGAUAAUGACGGUACCUGUAGAAUAAGCCCGGCUAACUUCGCGCCAGCAGCCGC